GACGAACGCUGGCGGCGUGCUUAACACAUGCAAGUCGAACGGAAAGGCCCUGCUUUUGUGGGGUGCUCGAGUGGCGAACGGGUGAGUAACACGUGAGUAACCUGCCCUUGACUUUGGGAUAACUUCAGGAAACUGGGGCUAAUACCGGAUAGGAGCUCCUGCUGCAUGGUGGGGGUUGGAAAGUUUCGGCGGUUGGGGAUGGACUCGCGGCUUAUCAGCUUGUUGGUGGGGUAGUGGCUUACCAAGGCUUUGACGGGUAGCCGGCCUGAGAGGGUGACCGGCCACAUGGGGACGGAGAUACGGCCCAGACGCCUACGGGAGGCAGCAGUGGGGAAUAUGGCACAAGGGGCGGAAGCCUGAGGCAGCAACGCCGGGUGCGGGAGGACGGCCUUCGGGUUGGAAACCGCUUUCGCCUGUGACGAAGCGUGAGGGACGGGAAUGGGGAAAGAAGCACCGGCGAACUACGG
rnacentral:rRNA from 1 species